rnacentral:lncRNA from 1 species
AUUAAUUAGGAAAUUUAUUAAAAAGGAAAUAAACAAUUCAAUGACAAUCAUGUAUGCUUUGGACACUAAUAACCAUCUGUGAAUACAUUAAAUAGCAGAAAGCCUUUGGACACUAAUAACCAUCUGUGAAUACAUUAAAUAGCAGAAAGCCUUUGGACACUAAUAACAAUCUGUUCGUAUACUAUGGACAUAUAUACCCCGAAGCCCAUAAAUGACCAUGUUUACUUUAAAAUAACAUUUAUCCGUCAGGGGUUAAUUACAUUAUUUGACAAUUAACCUCAUGUAAAUUAUCUCGAUAACCGGACGAUUAUACAACCGGCCUACAGCUAUAGGCAGGUGUAUGGACCAUUGGACUAUAUAAGAUACCUCAAUGGACUACAAGGACACAAUUCGAUCACACCAGAAUUCGUCACAUCUCGGCCAGUGUCAGUGCAAAACAUUUAUUUGAACUUUAAUCGCUCUUUGAAUAUACUUGUAAAUUAAGCAAUAAAUACUAAUUGACAAGUAUCACUUAUUAACUUAUUGAUUGUGCC